rnacentral:lncRNA from 1 species
AAAAGCUGCAGCAAAAGCAAAAGGGGAGUUUUGCUUGUAGAAACACCACAGGUCUCUUGUCUGCUCUCGGAAUGUUUUUGAGAUAAACCAGAUUUUAAAAAACAAAGGGAAAAAAAAAAACCACAGCUGCUUCUUUUGCUCUCUUCCUACUUUCUUGUGCUUUGCCCCUCCCCUUUCCCAGGUGAUUGGGUUUGGGUGCUGGGCGGGGCCGAAUGGUAUAUGAGCCCCAGGCAUGCUAUCAGAGAGCUCCUUCUGCUUGGGCUGCUCUUUGGGAGGACUAAAACCAGCUUGAUUGAAUGCUACAUAUGGCUUGGCAGCGUAGAUGCAGCAUUACCAAGAGACUGAGCAGGGUUGUAUCAGAGUCACCUCUUUCAUCUGCAAAGGGUGCUUUGUGCGGUCGUGGACAGGAAAGGGAAAUCCUCGUGUCGCGGAGCAGUGAGGGAAGGUGGCGUGGGUGAUGCUGGCCACUCCUUUCAAGCUUGGACCUAAUUUGCAGGUCCAGAGGCAAGUGGUCUGCUGUUUUGAAAGGAUAAAAGUAAAGCUGGGGUCGCUUAUG